rnacentral:lncRNA from 1 species
CAAUUGCAGCUACUCUGUCACUCAGUACCCUGAAAGUGUGGGCUCCUUUUCCACUUGAGUGCUGGCUGGAGAUCUCGGUUUGGCACUCCUCGGCUGCUGCAUACUGCAGUCCUGGGGUGAGCUAAGGCUUUAUGUUCCUUCCCUAGCUUGGAGGCAGCAACAGAAGGGACCUUGGCAGUGGCUAUGGCAGAAGACCUUUCACUUGUCUCUUGGGGCUCCACCCCAGAGGAAUGCAGAGCCUCUAUUGAUUGGUGCAAUUGGCCUGGGAUGGACCGGCUACUUUGUGGACCUCUGGGCAGGGGUUUUGUCGGGGCGACAGACUGGCCUCUUUCCUCAGGGCAACUGCAGCUUGCUGGAGGUGUGAUUAAAGCACUCAGGAGAACAGAGAAGAGCGAAACAAGACAAAUGCCCAUCUAGGAGAGAUCUGGAACUCAUCAAUGGAUGGAGAGGCUGAUUUCCCUCUAUGAAAAGAUUUUCAACACCAUGGCAAGUGGGAAGAAACAUCAGAAGCAGUUGAGGGAUCAAGAAGUGGGUCCUCCAGGGAUGAGGAGGCAUUCUGCUUCACGGCUUUUUAAAAUCUUUCCUCCUGAGUCAUCUUCCCAUUAAUGACUUUUUUUUGGUUUGUUUGUUUUAUAAAUCUCUUUUUGAUUUUAUAAACUGAAGAUUUCUUGUUCUGUAAUAAACACACACUUUUCUAGUCCUUCAAUAAACUUUCACACAUUUUUAUCAUGUUGUCUAUAGGCACUUUUUCCACAGUUUUAACGUCAUCUUCAUGAUCACUGUAAUCAUGAUCACCUUAAUUUGGAACCAUCUGGGCUCUUUGACCACUGGUCAGUGAAUUAACUGGAGCCUCAUUAUCGAUGUUAAAAAUGUCUCCAAUAUCUACUGCUUCGAACUUACUGGUAAACUCUGAAGUUCCAUAUUUUUGCAUAUGUAAGAAUAUCCAGCAUCAUUUUAUUUCUCACUUGACACAUGGAAUCCUUCAAACUCACCACCUUGUUCAUCACAUCACUGAACAUAAUCCCAGGGCAGAGGUUGUGCCAGGCAUAUACCCAACUGUCUUUAACCACUGUGAUCGUAGCAUUGGCAACAGCAUGUAUGGUAUCUUUCAUGCUAAAUUCUUCUUGAAAAUCUGACACAUCCAUGCCUCCAUUUGCUGCUGCUAGCAUGCUGUUAAAGAAAGUGUUUUAAUAUUUAUACUUCCUUUAUAUUUGGGAGAAAGCACAUGAAGUACACGUGUAAACAUUAUUUUUGAUGAGAAUUUCAGCUGCGGGAUGACCAG